rnacentral:tRNA from 1 species
GACUAGGUAGCAUAAUUGGCAGUGCGGAAGAUUGCAAACCUUCUGGUGGCGGUUCGAGUCCGCCUCUAGUCU